rnacentral:piRNA from 1 species
UUUUUGUUCCACUAUUUCAAA